GGCAUGAGGUGUUUGGCAAGA
rnacentral:miRNA from 2 species